rnacentral:rRNA from 1 species
GAUGAACGCUAGCGGCAGGCUUAAUACAUGCAAGUCGAGGGGCAGCGCAGUGUAGCAAUACAUGGGCGGCGACCGGCAAACGGGUGCGUAACACGUACGCAACCUUCCCGUUACUGUGGGAUAGCCCAGGGAAACUUGGAUUAAUACCACAUAUUGCCAUUGGGAGGCAUCUCUUGAUGGCCAAAGAAUUUCGGUAACGGAUGGGCGUGCGGUUGAUUAGGUAGUUGGCGGGGUAACGGCCCACCAAGCCUACGAUCAAUAGCUGAUGUGAGAGCAUGAUCAGCCACACGGGCACUGAGACACGGGCCCGACUCCUACGGGAGGCAGCAGUAAGGAAUAUUGGGCAAUGGACGAAAGUCUGACCCAGCCAUGCCGCGUGAAGGAUGAAGGUCCUCUGGAUUGUAAACUCUUUUUCUGGGAGAAAUGCAUCUUUUCUAAGGUGUUUGACGGUACCAGAAGAAUAAGCACCGGCUAACUCCGUGCCAGCAGCCG